rnacentral:tRNA from 1 species
GGGCUUUUAACUCAGCAGUAGGUCAGAGUAUCAGACUCAUAAUCUGAAGGUCCCCGGUUCAAGCCCGGGAAGGCCCA